CUACGCACUCCUACGGGGGGCAGCAGUGGGGAAUAUUGCACAAUGGGCGCAAGCCUGAUGCAGCCAUGCCGCGUGUAUGAAGAAGGCCUUCGGGUUGUAAAGUACUUUCAGCAGUGAGGAAGGUGGGUAUGUUAAUAGCAUAUUCAUUUGACGUUAGCUGCAGAAGAAGCACCGGCUAACUCCGUGCCAGCAGCCGCGGUAAUACGGAGGGUGCGAGCGUUAAUCGGAAUUACUGGGCGUAAAGCGCAUGCAGGUGGUUUGUUAAGUCAGAUGUGAAAGCCCGGGGCUCAACCUCGGAAUUGCAUUUGAAACUGGCAAACUAGAGUACUGUAGAGGGGGUAGAAUUUCAGGUGUAGCGGUGAAAUGCGUAGAGAUCUGAAGGAAUACCGGUGGCGAAGGCGGCCCCCUGGACAGAUACUGACACUCAGAUGCGAAAGCGUGGGGAGCAAACAGGAUUAGAUACCCUGGUAG
rnacentral:rRNA from 1 species